UUUAUAAAGAGUUUGAUCCUGGCUCAGGACGAACGCUGGCGGCGCGCCUAACACAUGCAAGUCGAACGAGCGAGAGAGAGCUUGCUUUCUCGAGCGAGUGGCGAACGGGUGAGUAACGCGUGAGGAACCUGCCUCAAAGAGGGGGACAACAGUUGGAAACGACUGCUAAUACCGCAUAAGCCCACGGCUCGGCAUCGAGCAGAGGGAAAAGGAGCAAUCCGCUUUGAGAUGGCCUCGCGUCCGAUUAGCUAGU
rnacentral:rRNA from 1 species